GAUGAACGCUGGCGGCGUGCCUAAUACAUGCAAGUCGAGCGAACAGAUAAGGAGCUUGCUCCUUUGAAGUUAGCGGCGGACGGGUGAGUAACACGUGGGUAACCUACCUAUAAGACUGGGAUAACUUCGGGAAACCGGAGCUAAUACCGGAUAACAUUUAGAACCGCAUGGUCCUAAAGUGAAAGAUGGUUUUGCUAUCACUUAUAGAUGGACCCGCGCCGUAUUAGCUAGUUGGUAAGGUAACGGCUUACCAAGGCGACGAUACGUAGCCGACCUGAGAGGGUGAUCGGCCACACUGGAACUGAGACACGGUCCAGACUCCUACGGGAGGCAGCAGUAGGGAAUCUUCCGCAAUGGGCGAAAGCCUGACGGAGCAACGCCGCGUGAGUGAUGAAGGGUUUCGGCUCGUAAAACUCUGUUAUUAGGGAAGAACAAAUGUGUAAGUAACUGUGCACAUCUUGACGGUACCUAAUCAGAAAGCCACGGCUAACUACGUGCCAGCAGCCGCGGUAAUACGUAGGCGGCAAGCGUUAUCCGGAAUUAUUGGGCGUAAAGCGCGCGUAGGCGGUUUCUUAAGCCUGAUGUGAAAGCCCACGGCUCAACCGUGGAGGGUCAUUGGAAACUGGGAAACUUGAGUGCAGAAGAGGAAAGUGGAAUUCCAUGUGUAGCGGUGAAAUGCGCAGAGAUAUGGAGGAACACCAGUGGCGAAGGCGACUUUCUGGUCUGUAACUGACGCUGAUGUGCGAAAGCGUGGGGAUCAAACAGGAUUAGAUACCCUGGUAGUCCACGCCGUAAACGAUGAGUGCUAAGUGUUAGGGGGUUUCCGCCCCUUAGUGCUGCAGCUAACGCAUUAAGCACUCCGCCUGGGGAGUACGACCGCAAGGUUGAAACUCAAAGGAAUUGACGGGGACCCGCACAAGCGGUGGAGCAUGUGGUUUAAUUCGAAGCAACGCGAAGAACCUUACCAAAUCUUGACAUCCUUUGAAAACUCUAGAGAUAGAGCCUUCCCCUUCGGGGGACAAAGUGACAGGUGGUGCAUGGUUGUCGUCAGCUCGUGUCGUGAGAUGUUGGGUUAAGUCCCGCAACGAGCGCAACCCUUAAGCUUAGUUGCCAUCAUUAAGUUGGGCACUCUAGGUUGACUGCCGGUGACAAACCGGAGGAAGGUGGGGAUGACGUCAAAUCAUCAUGCCCCUUAUGAUUUGGGCUACACACGUGCUACAAUGGACAAUACAAAGGGCAGCUAAACCGCGAGGUCAUGCAAAUCCCAUAAAGUUGUUCUCAGUUCGGAUUGUAGUCUGCAACUCGACUACAUGAAGCUGGAAUCGCUAGUAAUCGUAGAUCAGCAUGCUACGGUGAAUACGUUCCCGGGUCU
rnacentral:rRNA from 1 species